UACGGGAGGCAGCAGUGGGGAAUAUUGCACAAUGGGCGGAAGCCUGAUGCAGCGACGCCGCGUGAGGGAUGACGGCCUUCGGGUUGUAAACCUCUUUCAGUAGGGACGAAGCGUAAGUGACGGUACCUGCAGAAGAAGCACCGGCUAACUACGUGCCAGCAGCCGCGGUAAUACGUAGGGUGCGAGCGUUGUCCGGAAUUACUGGGCGUAAAGAGCUCGUAGGCGGUUUGUCACGUCGUCUGUGAAAUCCUAGGGCUUAACCCUGGACGUGCAGGCGAUACGGGCUGACUUGAGUACUACAGGGGAGACUGGAAUUUUCUGGUGUAGCGGUGGAAUGCACAGAUAUCAGGAAGAACACCGAUGGCGAAGGCAGGUCUCUGGGUAGUAACUGACGCUGAGGAGCGAAAGCAUGGGUAGCGAACAGGGAUUAGAUACC
rnacentral:rRNA from 1 species